GUGCUCCCCCGCCAAUUCCUUUAGUUUCAAUCUUGCGAUCGUACUCCCCAGGCGGCAGACUUAACAGCUUCCCUGCGGCACUAGAACGGCACGUGGCCGUCCAAACACCUAGUCUGCAUCGUUUACAGCUGGGACUACCCGGGUAUCUAAUCCGGUUCGCUCCCCCAGCUUUCAUCCCUCACCGUCGGGCGCGUUCUAGCAGACAGCCUUCGCCACUGGUGGUCUUCCCGGGAUUAUAGGAUUUCACCCCUACCCCGGAAAUACCGUCUGCCUCUCUCGUCCCCUAGCCAAGCAGUAUCCCCCGCAACCCAACGAUUAAUUCGGUGGAUUUAACAGGGGACUAACCUAGCCAGCUACGGAUGCUUUAGGCCCAAUAAACAUCCACACCACUCGGAGAGCUGGUAUUACCGCGGCGGCUGACACCAGACUUGCCCUCUCCUUAUUCCCCCAGCGUUCUAGACUGGGUAAAAGCCUUCCUCAGCGGAUGGCACUCGGGAUAGCCCUGUCAAGCUUUCGCUUACUGCAAAGUCUUCGCGCCUGCUGCACCCCGU
rnacentral:rRNA from 1 species